rnacentral:rRNA from 1 species
AUUGAACGCUGGCGGCAGGCUUAACACAUGCAAGUCGAGCGAGCGGCGGACGGGUGAGUAAUGUAUGGGACACUGCCUUAUGGAGGGGGAUAACUACGGGAAACGGUAGCUAAUACCGCAAACCAUCAUAUGUGCCCAGAUGGGAUUGGCUAGUAGGUGGGGUAAUGGCUCACCUAGGAGACGAUCCCUAGAUGGUCUGAGAGGAUGACCAGCCACACUGGAACGGAGACACGGUCCAGACUCCUACGGGAGGCAGCAGUGGUGAAUAUUGCACAAUGGGCGCAAGCCUGAUGCAGCCAUGCCGCGUGUGUGAAGAAGGCCUUAGGGUUGUAAAGUACUUUCAGCGAGGAGGCGUUACCCGCAGAAGAAGCACCGGCUAACUCCGUGCCAGCAGCCGCGGUAAUUC